GAUGAACGCUAGCUACAGGCUUAACACAUGCAAGUCGAGGGGAAACGAUAUUGGAAGCUUGCUUCCGAUAGGCGUCGACCGGCGCACGGGUGAGUAACGCGUAUCCAACCUGCCCAUCACUUGGGGAUAACCUUGCGAAAAUAAGACUAAUACCCAAUGACGUCUCUAGAAGACAUCUGAAAGAGAUUAAAGAUUUAUCGGUGAUGGAUGGGGAUGCGUCUGAUUAGCUUGUUGGCGGGGGUAACGGCCCACCAAGGCGACGAUCAGUAGGGGUUCUGAGAGGAAGGUCCCCCACAUUGGAACUGAGACACGGUCCAAACUCCUACGGGAGGCAGCAGUGAGGAAUAUUGGUCAAUGGACGAGAGUCUGAACCAGCCAAGUAGCGUGCAGGAAGACGGCCCUAUGGGUUGUAAACUGCUUUUAUAAGGGAAUAAAGUGAGUCUCGUGAGACUUUUUGCAUGUACCUUAUGAAUAAGGACCGGCUAAUUCCGUGCCAGCAGCC
rnacentral:rRNA from 1 species